CCUCGACCGACGCCAUGGCCCUCGCGUCCUCUCCACUCCCAGCGCCGCCGCGGGCGCACCAUCUCUGUCCGGUCCUCCUCCACCAUCCCAUCUCGCGGGUGGCCUCCCUCGUGAUCCAGAUCGACGGCACCGGCGGGAGACAGAUAGAGUGGCGCAGAUGCCGGGCGGCGACCAGUGCCUAAUCCAACAUGACGCCAUGCGGUCGCCAUCGAUGGCGGCUGCUCCUGCCGACAAGAGCCAUCUCAGAGGGCUGCGGAUGCCAUCGUGGCUUCCCCAUGGCUUCCUCGCAUGGCCCUGAAGGCCUCGUCCUGUUGAUGGCUGACACCAUCCGCAGGUUGCUGCUGAUGCAGCGGAUGGAAGCGACACACGACGGCGAUGCAAAGACAUGGCAGUUCGGUCCCGGACGUUCAGGUCGCCGGCGGGAGGCAGAUAGAGUGGCGCAGAUGCCGGGCGGCAACCAGCGCGGCAUCGAUCCAACAUGACGCCAUCCGGUCGCCAUCUCGUUGGGCUGCGGAUGCCAUGGUGGCUGCGGCUCCCCGCCGGACUGCGGCACGGCUUCCCCAUGGCUUCCUCGCAUGGCCCUGAGAGGGCUCGUCCUGCUGAUGGCUGCCACCGUCCCCAGGAUGCUGCUGGAACGAUGUUUAGGAACGAUGACUUUCUCCACUUGGAGGACGCUGGGGACAAGAGCUGCUACGACGGCUCGUAGUAAGGUUCACUAUCAUGUUCCUUCCCCUGCUCACGAUGGCAGUAGCUCGUGAUGACACUGGCUGCCUUGACGGAAGUAUUAAUGGGCCCAAACAGCCGCAGCUGCCGACUCACUGGAGAUGGAGGCCCUCCUCAAUGGUUUCACUAUGCCAGUGUUGAGCUCACAUGCCAUGUGCCUGGAGCAUGUAUGUAUACCGAAGGAAGUUGUGGUCCAGGGCUGCAGCAAUGAGGCAUCGUUUUUUGUAGGGGAAGCAGGAGAGCAAAGGCGCCAGUUAUGCACCCGCCGUUGCCGUCAUGCCCGUUUGGGCAUGCAACUAGCGCGUUGAUGCCUCCGGUGGUGGGAAGAGGACAUUGAGGAAGUGAAUUGCAUCUGCAAGCUGCGGUGUGGUCAAUGUGACCCUGAUAGCAGGUGUAGCACCGAGAAGCUAUGGUCUUGGCCUUGAGUUGUACGGGUCAAUCGGGUAACUUUUUUUCCUCUCAUUUCAUAGGUAUGUUGUGUAGGUCAUAUGUAGAAUUUUUCAAGUGACCACUGUCCUGAAAAGAUUAAGAGUGGUACCUACAUCAUUUGUUUUGUAUCACGUUGGUUCAGGUUCAGGUGGGCAUGAGCAUUUUGUUUCAUGCUUAAUGUUGGUGCCACACAUGCUUAAUGGAUGAUUUAAUAAGACUAGUUGUACUUGUUGGGCUUUUUUUUAACCUGAGUUGCACGAGUGGACAUGUGCUUGGUAUUUGAUUACCUGAGAUCACAAGUGUGGAUAGGUGCUUGAUCUUUGAUUACGUGCCAUAUGGUGAUGCUUCUGAUUUGGGAAAAGUAGGAUAUGCCGCACACGUGUAGUAGUGGUACAUUGACACUUGACUUGACGUGCAUGUAUAAUUAAUCAUAUCUGUCGGUACAUAACUGAUGUGUGUGCUAUAGCUCGUGCUAGCGCUAGUUGUUGGUUCUGGCUGGAUCGGAAACCUGUUAUGUUGAUAGACCUGACACUUGCACAUGAAAGAAUCAUCAUACAUUUCUAGAUCACUUGGGCAUGAUUCACGUACUGAGUUUCUUCUUGGACCAGCUGUAGCUGGAUGUGGCGCUGGAGCUUCUUCAUCUUCUUACUGUAUGUGCUGAUCAAGUCUCAUAGUAGUAUCAAUCUCUUCAUAUUUGGAUUUGGUACAGAUUUUGUAAUGUAUUGUUUGCUUGGUCCGCUAUGAUGUUUUCAUCAAGUGCCCUGGCCCUGGGAAUCUCGUUGGUGCUGAAGUUUUUGAGCAAUGAUUCUAUUUUUUUGUUCCGCUGGAGUAUAUAUAUAUCCAAUGGAUAUGUUCCAUCAAGGAAUCCUUUUAGGAGCUGGCUGACUGGUGGAAGAAAGGCCAUGGACAGUGAGAAGCAGGUAAGCAAUGGCAUCAGUCAUGCACCAGCCGCUGACGCCUCCGACGACGGGAAGAGGACACCGAGGAAGUGUUUUCAGCGGUCACUCCGAUGGCAGGCGUAGCAGCGAGAACCUUUGGUCCUUUCCUUGAGCUAUCUGUCCAAUCGGCUGGAGUACAUCCAACGGAUAUGUUCCAUCAAGGAACCCUUCCAGGAGCUGGCUCACUGGCGGAACAAGAGGUCAUGGACAACUAAUGGCAUCGACCCGACGGUCUGCACACCAGCCCCAGCGUGUGGCUCCAGUUGGUGUAGUAGAGGUUGGAUGUGAGCCAUGAUGCGGCCUUUCAGUAGGAUGAGAAACCAGAGGUGGUAGAGAAGAACGGGAGUUGUAGUCGUUCGUUUGUAUAAUCUAGUUGAUUGUUAUGUAAUAUAGGAAUCAAGUAAGUCUUUCCGCCCAUGAGAUCUAAUUGCUAUGGUGUCCUAUGUUAGCGUCCACCAUGUAGCUGGUAUGUGGCAAUCUGGUACGUAGCAAUGCAUCUUUUGAGUUGAAAAUCUAUCGUGCAUAAUAAACUCAAAUCAGAUAACAUGUACGACUAUGGCUGAUGGAAAAAAUAUAUUUUCCAA